rnacentral:tRNA from 1 species
GCCUGGGUGGCUCAGUCGGUUGAGUGUCUGACUUCAGCUCAGGUCAUGAUCUCACAGUUCGUGGGUUCAAGCCCUGCGUCGGGCU